AGAUUGAACGCUGGCGGCAGGCCUAACACAUGCAAGUCGAGCGGCAGCACGGGUACUUGUACCUGGUGGCGAGCGGCGGACGGGUGAGUAAUGCCUAGGAAUCUGCCUGAUAGUGGGGGAUAACGUUCGGAAACGGACGCUAAUACCGCAUACGUCCUACGGGAGAAAGUGGGGGAUCUUCGGACCUCACGCUAUCAGAUGAGCCUAGGUCGGAUUAGCUAGUUGGUAGGUAAAGGCCUACCAAGGCUACGAUCCGUAACUGGUCUGAGAGGAUGAUCAGUCACACUGGAACUGAGCACGGUCCAG
rnacentral:rRNA from 1 species